UGAGUUUGAUCCUGGCUCAGGACGAACACUGGCGGCGUGCCUAAUACAUGCAAGUCGAGCGCGGGAAGCAGACGGAAUCCUUCGGGAGGAAGACUGUGGAACGAGCGGCGGAUGGGUGAGUAACACGUGGGCAACCUGCCUAUAAGCUUGGGAUAACUUACGGAAACGUGAGCUAAUACCAAAUGAAGUCUUUUAUCGCCUGAUAAAAGAAUAAAAGGCGGCACUUUGUGCUGUCACUUAUAGAUGGGCCUGCGGUGCAUUAGCUAGUUGGUGGGGUAAUGGCCUACCAAAGCAACGAUGCAUAGCCGACCUGAGAGGGUGAUCGGCCACACUGGGACUGAGACACGGCCCAGACUCCUACGGGAGGCAGCAGUAGGGAAUCUUCCGCAAUGGACGAAAGUCUGACGGAGCAACGCCGCGUGAGUGAUGAAGGUCUUCGGAUCGUAAAACUCUGUUGUUAGGGAAGAACAAGUAUCGGUCGAAUAAACCGGCACCUUGACGGUACCUAACCAGAAAGCCCCGGCUAACUACGUGCCAGCAGCCGCGGUAAUACGUAGGGUGCGAGCGUUGUCCGGAAUUACUGGGCGUAAAGAGCUCGUAGGUGGUUUGUCGCGUCGUCUGUGAAAUCCCGGGGCUUAACUUCGGGCGUGCAGGCGAUACGGGCAUAACUUGAGUGCUGUAGGGGAGACUGGAAUUCCUGGUGUAGCGGUGAAAUGCGCAGAUAUCAGGAGGAACACCAAUGGCGAAGGCAGGUCUCUGGGCAGUAACUGACGCUGAGGAGCGAAAGCAUGGGUAGCGAACAGGAUUAGAUACCCUGGUAGUCCAUGCCGUAAACGGUGGGCGCUAGGUGUAGGGGACUUCCACGUCUUCUGUGCCGUAGCUAACGCAUUAAGCGCCCCGA
rnacentral:rRNA from 1 species